rnacentral:rRNA from 1 species
GACGAACGCUGGCGGCGUGCCUAAUACAUGCAAGUUGAGCGCUGAAGGUUGGUACUUGUACCAACUGGAUGAGCAGCGAACGGGUGAGUAACGCGUGGGGAAUCUGCCUUUGAGCGGGGGACAACAUUUGGAAACGAAUGCUAAUACCGCAUAAAAACUUUAAACACAAGUUUUAAGUUUGAAAGAUGCAAUUGCAUCACUCAAAGAUGAUCCCGCGUUGUAUUAGCUAGUUGGUGAGGUAAAGGCUCACCAAGGCGAUGAUACAUAGCCGACCUGAGAGGGUGAUCGGCCACAUUGGGACUGAGACACGGCCCAAACUCCUACGGGAGGCAGCAGUAGGGAAUCUUCGGCAAUGGACGAAAGUCUGACCGAGCAACGCCGCGUGAGUGAAGAAGGUUUUCGGAUCGUAAAACUCUGUUGGUAGAAAAGAACGUUGGUGAGAGUGGAAAGCUCAUCAAGUGACGGUAACUACCCAGAAAGGGACGGCUAACUACGUG